rnacentral:snoRNA from 1 species
ACGCAUCUCUGACAGCCCUGGAGCAGUUCACGUCUGCUGCUAAGGUUUCCACUACAGAUGCAAGAAAAAGAAGGUCCUCCGGUUUUCUGUCUGGUUGUGGCAGCCGAGAUUAAAUGGGGGAAUACAGGA